GAUGAACGCUAGCGGCAGGCUUAAUACAUGCAAGUCGAGGGGCAGCGCAGUGUAGCAAUACAUGGGCGGCGACCGGCAAACGGGUGCGGAACACGUACGCAACCUACCCAUAACUGAUGAAUAGCCCUCCGAAAGGAGGAUUAAUACAUCGUAACAUAAUGAAGUGGCAUCACUUUAUUAUUAUAGCUCCGGCGGUUUUGGAUGGGCGUGCGCCUGAUUAGGUAGUUGGCGGGGUAACGGCCCACCAAGCCUGCGAUCAGUAACUGGUGUGAGAGCACGACCAGUCACACGGGCACUGAGACACGGGCCCGACUCCUACGGGGGGCAGCAGUAAGGAAUAUUGGUCAAUGGACGCAAGUCUGAACCAGCCAUGCCGCGUGAAGGAUGAAGGUCCUCUGGAUUGUAAACUUCUUUUAUAUGGGACGAAACCUCUUAUUCUUAAGAGACUGACGGUACCAUAGGAAUAAGCACCGGCUAACUACGUGCCAGCCGCCGCGGUAACAC
rnacentral:rRNA from 1 species